rnacentral:tRNA from 1 species
GGGGAUAUAGCUCAGUUGGUAGAGUACUUGCUUUGCAUGCACAAGGCCCUGGGUUCAAUCCUCAGCACCACCA